UACGUAGGGUGCAAGCGUUGUCCGGAAUUAUUGGGCGUAAAGAGCGUGUAGGCGGCCAGUUAGGUCCGUUGUGAAAACUCGAGGCUCAACCUCGAGACGCCGAUGGAAACCAACUGGCUAGAGUCCGGAAGAGGAGAGUGGAAUUCCCGGUGUAGCGGUGAAAUGCGCAGAUAUCGGGAAGAACACCCGUGGCUAAGGCGGCUCUCUAGUACGGUACUGACGCUGAGACGCGAAAGCGUGGGGAGCGAACAGG
rnacentral:rRNA from 1 species